ensembl:lncRNA
GGACUGCCACACACCCUCCUCCAGCCACUGAACAUUUGCACUAGACUGUUUUUUUACUACUGUAUUUAUCCCACUUAUAGAGUAUUCAUAUUUAUACCUAUUUAUAUACUUAUCUUGUCUAUAUUCAUUGUACUUAUAUCAUACCUCUUAACUUACUCUGUAUAUAACAUUACUACUACCUUUUUCAUUUCAUUUUUCUCAUUUUCAUUUCACUUAUACUUACACCAGCACUUAAUAUAUACUUAUCAUAUCUGCACUACCCACUUCUAUUGCUGCUAUUCUUCUAUCAAUACUGUUCAUACUCCAUAUCUUAUUCCUUACUGUACAUAUCUUAUUUAUUUACAUAUUCCACUUUACAUAUGCACAUACUCUGCACUUUUAGUGCUUUUUUGCAUUUCUGGUUAGAUGCUAAACUGCAUUUCGUUGUCUCAGUACUUGUACUCUGUGCAAUGACAAUAAAGUUGAAUCUAGUCUAAUCUUAUCAAGGUUCGGUGAUACAUACACUAGCCCAGUGGUCACCAACCUUUUUUGGCCAAAGAUCACAACCUCUGCCUUGGUGACAGGCAAGAUCUACCUAUUGAGGCGUUGAGAAAAAAAGACUGUCCAGACUCCAGACUGUACUUACAACUUAACUUUAUUUAGCCUAAUUGUAAUUGAAUGAAAUUAAACACUUUGGUCCAGCUUUCAAAUUGAUGUGGCCAAGAACACACUAAAUCAUUUAUUUCAGUGCAACAUAAAAAGGAACAUAUUUGUUAACCGCACACAAUAUGAACAAGAAAAAACACAUUUGCAAUGAGCAGGCUGGAUAUGAACUGCUUUAUUUAUCAACUGAAGUUACAACACAACACGGACAAUCUUUGUUUUCAGAUCAUUUGACAGUUGUUUUGAGGCCCCCCAUGUUGCCACUCUUCAGAGGAGAAUCAAGGAGAAGCACAUCUUGCAAUUGGCUACCUUAGAUAGUUUUUCUGAUGAUUGAAUGCACCUUUCUAUGGAAUUGAAGGCUUAACAAGCUAAUCAGACUAAUUAUGUGUUGCAAUUAUUUAGUAUUGAGUAGUUACAGGUAUUCAGAUCAUGAAAAUGAUUAGGGUGCCUAAAUAUUUGCACAGCCUAUUUUACGACGACAGUACGACAGUAUGCGUGCAUAUUAAUAUUUCGAAAACCAACGCGGUAAUUGGAAUGAAGUGGGAGUGGCCGAUAACUAACAUAAGCGCAAACGUACUCAUGUAACGUGUCACCUUUAACAUUAAUAUUUAGAAACACGUUGCAGUGUUAAACGAGUCGUAGAAGUUAAAAUAGACAAAUAUCUGCCUGGAAAACCGUUAGUUUGGGUAAGCUAAUACAUAACGUUAAUCUAUAAAUAGACUUAGGAUAUCGUUUUUUUUAACAAACUGGCCGAUAACCAACAUAACAACGACAUCCAAGAGAACUCGAGGAUGUUAUGCACGCGAGUUGAGCCUAGUUGCGAGCUGUCAGACGAGCUGUCAGAAUGUUGGAAAUCUCUCUACAUUGGGCAGACAUUCUGCAACUUUACCCAAUAUUAAGUGACAGUACCCGACAAUGACCAACAAACACCAACUGCUGCUGCACGCUGACCCAACUGUUGGUGUUUGUUGGCGUUUGUUGGAGAAUGUUGGCGUUUGUCGGGGCAGUGUGCAAGCUGCUUUAGAAGGGGCAUUUAGUGGGAAGGGCUACAUUUGUGAGAAAUCGUUGGUGAUUACGUUCACAUCAACUCUACGGACAUCCUCGGAUUUAAAUAGCUGGCGUUCAUGAAUCAGGCGGAGAUCUUUUCUGACUUUGGUCUUCCGAAGUCCGUAAGAAAACAUUUCAGAAGACACUUCAGAAAAUGUUCAAAUAUUUUUUUCUUUUUUCUGUUUUAAUUUUUUUUUAAUAAUUUUGGAGAUCGACAGGGAAGGUCUUCGAGAUCGACACGUCGAUCGCGAUCGACGGGUUGGCGACCUCUGCACUAGCCUAUUUACAAGGAAAUGACUAAAUUGAUAAAGCGGUGAUGAAUGGUUGACACAUAAUCGGAUUUUAUGACACGCCUCAUGAUAAAGACAGUAUUUUAUGGUCUUAUCUUUCCUCCACCUUCCACCACCCACUGACUGAGGUUCUGUGGAAUUGGUGUUUCCAAGACAGUAUUUUAUUGUUUUUGUGGACCUUGAAGUUGUAUACUGACAUCAGCAAGCAAACUCCAGUCCUGUGCUUUGCCCCAUUUGUAUUUUUCUGCCCCUCUUGCACAAAAUAAAUCCGACUUUUCCUGUCAUUAACUGGCAAAGAGUUAACAAUUUAUUGUCAAACAGACACACGAAUGAUUCUAGAACCCGUGUAGCAACCCUGGCUAAGGCUAGUUUUACAUCCAGACAAAAUAAUCCAUUUGCCUCCUCUCCAGUAAUGUACCCUAACCCAUUUCCAACUGCCUCCUAGCCCAGACUCCAUUAUUCCACUGCCUAAUGAUAUCCCAAUGCUGUAAUGCGCCUUCUGUAUGUUGAACUGCUUCUACUGGACGUCAUUUGUGGCUCAAACAAUGAAUGGAGCCUAACCCUAACCCUAACCCUGAUCCAGUGUCGGAACCUAACCCUAACCCUAACCCUAAUCCAGUGUCAGAGCCUAACCCUAACCCUAACCCUGAUCAAGUGUCGGAGCCACUAGAUGUUUUCCUUUCAGGUGAAAGAAGUAGAACGCAGCCCGGGGCCGGGGGGAAGAGGGAGUACAAUUUGUUUUCUUCAUGAGACAAUAUUCCCUUACAGCACACAAAAGCUUCAUUAAAACCCUUAGGGCUGUUAGACUUUUUUAGGUAGUCUGACAGGCCUUGAUGUUUUUGUAUAUUUCCUCUAACUAAAAACACUGAUGGCAAUGGCAUAUAUGUAAAAGAUUAAAGGUUUCUGGGGGUGUUCUUUGUAUGACUCUAUGACAUAAACUCGCAGAGUUUUAAAGGCAUACUGACAACAAGAACAAAAAACUAAAUAUUGAUUUAGACCCUAGAGGGAUCAUACAACUGGGGUGCACAAGCUUGUUUUGGACAUCAGGAGAGAACAAAAUGGGAGGUGGGGGAGCAUAUCAAUUGCCCUUGCUGUUGUGGAUAAGUAUAAUUUUCAACAAUAUCAACAACUUGGCAGAUAAGAGUGAAGCAUGGGCCUACCCCCAUUCCACCAGUUCUCCCUUACGGAUAGAAACACUUUUACAAUUGUAUCCAAAAUACAUCGAUUUCAAUUAGGUAUGAUACUCAACAUUUUGAUUAAUGUGGAACAGCCAAUAUGUUCUAUUAUCACUACUGCUAAGUUUUUCGAUUUAAGCCUCAAUACACAACACCAUAAACCAUGUGAUGAGCUGAACCACAAAACAUUUACUAUAGUUGCUUUCAAUGGUACAAUACAAAAUCACCAUCCGCAGGGAAACUCUCAGUGCGAAAGAUUUAAUUGCAUUAUGCACAACAUGCUGCGGUCCCUCCAAGCUAACAAGAAGAAGAACUUGAAAGAGCACCUGCCUGAACUGGUGAUGGCAUACAAUAGCCACAUUCAUUCAUCUACGGGUUACUCUCCGUUCUAUUUGCUUUUUGGCAGAGAUGCGUGACUGCCAAGAGAUAUUCUUGGGGGAAUGGAUUUCGACGACAGUGGGUCAGAGAAUCUGGAUGACUGGGUGUUAAAUCAUCAUGAGAGACUGCGGAUGGCAGCGGAUGCAGCACGGGCAGCGAUGCAAGGCGCCUCCAAGCGACGCAAAAGGCGCUAUCAUCAUACAAUGAAAAUGAUGAUGAUAUUUAGAUAUGGUUUAAUAAAAAGUGUUAAAUUACACAUGAAUGAGUGCAGCUUUAGAGGCACGAGAUUUCCCAGGUUUGUUAUCAUCUUGGUCACACCAGUAGGAGUGGUCAAACCUCUCGUUUGGAAUCUCAACCGUACAGUUCUUCGCAUUCCGAAGUACAUCCCAGAAGUGGUCCAAUCCCUCUCCUUUGCGUUUAUGUAUGGAUACUGUGGAACAUAUUAUUUAGCUGAUUUACACAUAGCGAGUUCAAUUAAUUUGACUCAGAGACAAAUCAACCCUCAAUUUUUUUUUUCUCUCUUGAACAUCAUAACCGUAAACAUGCUCAAACAGCACAGUAAUAACAGACUCACCUCCCGGAAAAUUGCAGCCAAUGCCAACAACGGCGAUUUCAUCAGCGUCGUCAUCCAUUCUGCAACCCGUAGUUCAGAUGAUAGGCGACUUACAAACAGAAGCGCGUGUUUUGAAUAGGAAAGUGGUAUCAGAAAACUCUGAGGUUGAGAUGCUGAAACCGGUUAGUAAUUCACCCACCUUUUAAAGUAGGCUAUC